CCCUUAGAUGUUCUGGGCCGCACGCGUGCCACACUGAGUAAUUCAAUGGGUAAGGGAACGCUAGAGCAUUACCUAAUCUUGAAAUUUGCUCGUGAUGGGGAUCGACGGUUGCAAUUUUCCGUCGUGAACGAGGAAUACCUUGUAGGCGCAUGUCAUCAUCAUGCGCCGAAUACGUCCCUGCCCUUUGUACACACCGCCCGUCGCUCCUACCGAUUGAGUGAUCCGGUGAGGCUCUGGGACCUGGACGGAAAGAGCGUUUCGCUUGUUCUGUUUGGGAAACUUGGUCGAACCUUAUCAUUUAGAGGAAGGAGUAGUCGUAACA
rnacentral:rRNA from 1 species